GGGUGUCAGUCACUGCUUUCAUGAGCAAUGCAUAAGGUUUUAUGUUUAACAACUCUGGGGGAAUCUAAUAUGCUUGCUAAUAGUCAUAGAGAAGUGGAUUCUGAUAGUGUCGAUCACUUGACACUUGGUCAGCACUUUCUCAUCGGAUAUUAGAAUAACAAAUCUGAUUCUGAUUUUAGGAAUCCCCUGAGGGAAGGACGGUGCUGGUACUCCGGAAAUCUUUACCAAGGACAAAGAAAGACUUCUUCACGGAACCAGGUGAAGAUGUUUUAAUUGUAGUGUUAAAGGAGCGGAGCGUCCAGAUCUGAGAUUGAUUCUCAUGAUUGCCACUUUAAAGCUGAACUCGUUUCUAAUUAUUAUGGAGGGGCACCUACCAUUCACAUUCCUGUUGAGGGAUCCUGAUCUGGUUAAGAGGAUUGGAGCAGCCACUGCAGUCGAAGUCAGAGCCACUGGAAUUCCAUACACAUUUGCUCCUUGCAUUGCAGUUUGUAGAGAACCCAGAUGGGGUAGGUGUUAUGAGAGCUACAGCGAGGAUCACAAAGUUGUGGAAGACAUGACAGAUGUCAUACUUGGUUUUCAAGGAGAGCCUCCUUCCAACUAUAAGCAUGGCAUUCCAUUUGUUGGUGGCAGGUGUUUCCACAGUGAUGGUUUCAUAUUCAAGCUGGAAUGGUGAGAAGAUGCAUGCAAAUACUGAGCUUAUUACAGGUGUGUGUGUGUUCGUGUCCCCCCAGAAGGAUGAAGUUUUUUCAGAGAACAAACACUCUCUGUCUCCGGCGACAGUGUUCUUACACUAAGUAACAACAACAUCAAACUCUGGUGGAUUAUAAACAAGAUCGGAGAGAUAUGCACUUUGAUUUGAAGAAGAAUGAAGAAGGAUUCACAGCAUCAUUCUUGUUACAGAGGUUGUCUUUGAUGACUCAAUACGUCUUAAUAUUCCACUUCAGUCUUCCCAAUCCUUACUUAAGUCAUCGAUGAUGGUGGAGAUGUAUACAUAUGGUUCUUCGCAUGUCUAAUUUUAGGGAUGACCACUGGCUUAACCACAACAAUGGGACAAUCCUCUGAGGCUGCUUGCGAAGGCCAAACUCAAAGAGCAAUCCAGCUUCUCUCUUUCUCCCUCCUCCACGCUGAGACGAGACCUAUGGAGUUUGGUGAAACCGACGACUGCUGUUGGCCAUGGAAGAUACACAUAUCACAAGGAGCCAAUCGAGAUGUUUGUUCUCUGGAUUCGUGGAAGCUGAUUGCAGAUCAAACUCAAUGGCCAAGAUUGUACAUGAUGAGCUAGUGGAAUUGUGAUGGAUCUCACUCUCUCUCUUUCCGUUCUUCUUCUUCUUCGUCACAUGUCUUAACAAGGAGGGAUUUGUCAUGAGGGACCUUUUGAAUUUCUGUUUUUUUUGGAGGUGGUCUCGCUGGAAACUUACGUCGAGUUGUGUCACCCAGAGGACGCGGAUUCCUCACAGCAUUUAUGUUAUGAAUUUUCAAACUUGUUUCACAAUGAUGCAGAUUGGUCACAGCAACAAGUUUGAAGAUUCAUAAUAUUAACCGUGACACAACUCGGCGUUUCCCUUUUCAGCUUUCUGAGAAUGUCUAGCUCGAUAGAAAGCAACUCAGUGGAGACAACAAUUUUCCAAAGAGACCACCUCCAAAAAAGAACAGAAGGUCAAAGGGUCGUUCAUAACAAACCCCUCACUUAAGACAGAUGUGACGAAAAAGGAGGUAGCAGCAGCCAGCAGAAGCUCUAAAGACGGCUCCGAAGCAAUCAUGUGACUGAGAUAAGGAAGGAUUUGACGAAAAAGGAGGCAGCAGCAGAAGCUCCAAAGGUGGCUCAGAAGCGAUCCCUGAUGUUUAGACAACCGUCCAAGGGUUGUGCUUGGAGGUGGUCAAGACGCAUCAGCUGUGACUACCACUGAUCAUCGUGCUGGAAAGUUUGAAGCUAAGUUUUACAACAAGGUUAGUGUUACAAUAAGAGGGUUUUACUUGCAAACAUGUAACCUCGAAACGAGAUAUGUAACUGUGUAUCAUUUUGUGUUUGGCAUGAUAUAUAUGGAUUCUGCAAGAGGAAAUAGGUGGUGUAAAGGUCAUUUUGGACCUAUAAAUGCUUUGGCAUUCAAUCCUGGCAGGAGCCAGGAGUUUCUCUUGUGGAGGUGAAGACGCUACGUGUGGCUGCAUCAUCUUUGACUCCUAUUACUUCAACAUCAGGAUUUAGAUUCUUUGAAAAAGUCUUCCAUUCCGGAUUUUAUUUCCUCACCUUUUUAGCAUGUUUAUGUGUACUACUACUACUACUACCAAUACCAACACUUUGAUGAUAAAGCUUUUGAAUUUUGACCGAAUGUUUUUAGUUUUCAUUUCUA